UACGUAGGGUGCAAGCGUUGUCCGGAAUUAUUGGGCGUAAAGAGCUCGUAGGCGGUUUGUCGCGUCUGCUGUGAAAACUCAGGGCUUAACCCUGAGCCUGCAGUGGGUACGGGCAGACUAGAGGUAGGCAGGGGAGAGCGGAACUCCUGGUGUAGCGGUGGAAAUGCGCAGAUAUCAGGAAGAACACCGGUGGCGAAGGCGGCUCUCUGGGCCUUACCUGACGCUGAGGAGCGAAAGCGUGGGUAGCGAACAGG
rnacentral:rRNA from 1 species